AUCCAGAGUACCACCGGACACGAGGAACCCGGUGGGAAGCCGGGGGGACCACCCCCCAAGCCUAAAUACUACCUGAUGACCGAUAGUGAAAAGUACAGUGAUGGAAAGUUGAAAAGAACCCCGGAAGGGGAGUGAAAAAGAAUCUGAAACCCUAUGUUUACAAGCUGCUAAAGCACCAUAUGAGUGCGAUAGCGUACUUUUUGUAGAACGGUCCGGCGAGUGUAUGUUGCAAGCGAGGUUAAGGUGUUAAGCACUGAAGCCGAAGGGAGACCGAGUGUGAAUAGCGCGUACAGUUUGCAGUAUACGACCCGAAACCGGGUGACCUAACCAUGGACAGGUUGAAGUGGAAGUAAAAUUCCAUGGAGGACCGAACCCACGUCUGUUGAAAAAGGCGGGGAUGAGCUGUGGUUAGCGGUGAAAUUCCAAUCGAACUCGGAUAUAGCUGGUUCUCAUCGAAAUAGCUUUAGGGCUAGCCUCAGGAUAGUUUAGCGGAGGUAAAGCACUGAAUGGGCUAGGGGGCUUCACGGCUUACCGAACCCUAUCAAACUCUGAAUGCCGCAUAAAUGUUUCCUGGGAGUCAGACUGCGUGAGAUAAGUUUCGUAGUCAAAAGGGAAAGAGCCCAGACCUACAGCUAAGGUCCCUAAAUGAAUUUAAGUGGAAAAGGAUGUGCAGUUGCGUAGACAACUAGGACGUUGGCUUAGAAGCAGCCACUCAUUUAAAGAGUGCGUAAUAGCUCACUAGUCGAGUGAUUGUGCGCCGAAAAUGUAACGGGGCUAAAAUUCAUACCGAAGCUUAGGCUUUGCACACUUUGUGUGCGAGGGGUAGAUGAGCGUUGUGUAAGUCUGCGAAGCUACACCGAAAGGAGUAGUGGAGAUAUCACAAGUGAGAAUGCCGGAAUGAGUAGCGAGAAUUAUGUGAGAAUCAUAAUGGUCGAAAAUCUAAGGUUUCUUGAGGAAGGUUCGUCCGCUCAAGGUAAGCCGGGAGCUAAGGCGAGGCCGAGAGGCGUAGUCGAUGCACAUACGGUAAAGAUUCCGUAGCCACCGAAGUCGUUAAAUACAGGGACACAGGAACAUAGCCUAACCCCACCGUUGGUUGAGUGGGGCGUAAGGGAGCGAAAAUUAGUAGCGAAGUAGGUGAUUGUACACUGGCGAGAAAAGCUGUAUGAAUUGACAAGGUGCCCGUACCGCAAACCGACACAGGUAGAUGAGGAGAGAAUCCUAAGACCAGCGGGAGAAGUGUUGUUAAGGAACUCGGCAAAAUGACCCCGUAACUUCGGGAUAAGGGGAGCCUACGCGAGUAGGCCGCAGAGAAUAGUCUCAAGCGACUGUUUAGCAAAAACACAGGUCUAUGCUAAAUCGAAAGAUGAUGUAUAUGGGCUGACGCCUGCCCGGUGCUGGAAGGUUAAGGGGAAGUGUUAGAGCAAUCGAAGCACUGAACUUAAGCCCCAGUAAACGGCGGCCGUAACUAUAACGGUCCUAAGGUAGCGAAAUUCCUUGUCAGGUAAGUUCUGACCCGCACGAAUGGCGUAACGA
rnacentral:rRNA from 1 species